ensembl:snRNA U4 U4 spliceosomal RNA
AGCUUUGCGCAGUGGCAGUAUCGUAGCCAGUGAGGUCUAUCCUAGGCUCGAUUAUUGCUAAUCGAAAACUCAGCAAUGCCAGCAUGUAGGCUCUGUCCCUACCCAGUUCCUUACUGUCAGGAUAAUUUUAAGAAAU